GAUGAACGCUGGCGGCGUGCCUAACACAUGCAAGUCGAGCGAGAAACCAUCGAUUGAAACUUCGGUAGAUAUUGAAGGCGGAAAGCGGCGGACGGGUGAGUAACGCGUAGGCAACCUGCCCUUUGCAGAGGGAUAGCAACGGGAAACUGUUAUUAAAACCUCAUAAUACCGUAAUGUCAAAUGAUGAAACGGUCAAAGAUUUAUCGGCAAAGGAUGGGCCUGCGUCUGAUUAGUUAGUUGGUAGGGUAACGGCCUACCAAGGCAGCGAUCAGUAGCCGACCUGAGAGGGUGAUCGGCCACAUUGGAACUGAGACACGGUCCAAACUCCUACGGGAGGCAGCAGUGGGGAAUAUUGCACAAUGGGCGAAAGCCUGAUGCAGCAACGCCGCGUGAAGGAUGAAGGCCUUUGGGUCGUAAACGUUCUGUCCUUGGGGAAGAGAAAAAUGACGGUACCCCUGGAGGAAGUCCCGGCUAACUACGUGCCAGCAGCCGCGGUAAU
rnacentral:rRNA from 1 species